AGUCGAGGAUCUUCGGCAAUGCGCGCAAGCGCGACCGAGCGACGCCGCGUGGGCGAUGAAGGCCUUCGGGUUGUAAAGCCCUGUCGAGGGGGAGAAAAGGGUCAAACUUUGAUCUAUCCCUGGAGGAAGCUCGGGCUAAGUUCGUGCCAGCAGCCGCGGUAAGACGAACCGAGCGAACGUUGUUCGGAAUCACUGGGCUUAAAGGGUGCGUAGGCGGGCUGCCAAGUUUGAGGUGAAAUCCUCCGGCUCAACCGGGGAAGUGCCUUGAAUACUGGCGGUCUGGAGGGAGGUAGGGGCGUGCGGAACUAACGGUGGAGCGGUGAAAUGCGUUGAUAUCGUUAGGAACUCCGGUGGCGAAGGCGGCACGCUGGACCUUUACUGACGCUGAGGCACGAAAGCCAGGGGAGCGAA
rnacentral:rRNA from 1 species